rnacentral:rRNA from 1 species
ACUGCUCAGUAACACGUAGUCAACAUGCCCAAAGGACGUGGAUAACCUCGGGAAACUGAGGAUAAACCGCGAUAGGUCAUAAGUACUGGAAUGUUUUAUGGCUCAAAUCUACAUGGCCUCUGGAUUGGACUGCGGCCGAUCAGGCUGUUGGUGAGGUAAUGGCCCACCAAACCUGUUACCGGUACGGGCUCUGAGAGGAGGAGCCCGGAGAUGGGCACUGAGACAAGGGCCCAGGCCCUAUGGGGCGCAGCAGGCGCGAAACCUCUGCAAUAGGCGAAAGCUUGACAGGGUUACUCUGAGUGAUUCCCGCUAAGGGAAUCUUUUGGCAUCUCUAAAAACGAUGUAGAAUAAGGGGUGGGCAAGUCUGGUGUCAGCCGCCGCGGUAAUACCAGCACCCCGAGUGGUCGGGACGAUUAUUGGGCCUAAAGCAUCCGUAGCCGGUCUUGCAAGUCUUCCGUUAAAUCCACCUGCUUAACAGAUGGGCUGCGGAAGAUACUACAAGACUAGGAGGCGGGAGAGGCAAGCGGUACUCAGUGGGUAGGGGUAAAACCCUCUGCUCCAUUGAAGACCACCAGUGGCGAAGGCGGCUUGCCAGAACGCGCUCGACGGUGAGGGAUGAAAGCUGGGGGAGCAAACCGGAUUAGAUACCCGGGUAGUCCCAGCUGUAAACGAUGCAGACUCGGUGAUGGGCCGGCUUCAUGCCGGCUCAGUGCCGCAGGGAAGCCGUUAAGUCUGCCGCCUGGGGAGUACGGUCGCAAGACUGAAACUUAAAGGAAUUGGCGGGGGAGCA